UACGUAGGGUGCAAGCGUUAAUCGGAAUUACUGGGCGUAAAGCGCGCGCAGGCGGUUGGGCAAGACCGAUGUGAAAUCCCCGGGCUUAACCUGGGAAUGGCAUUGGUGACUGCACGGCUAGAGCGUGUCAGAGGGGGGUAGAAUUCCACGUGUAGCAGUGAAAUGCGUAGAGAUGUGGAGGAAUACCGAUGGCGAAGGCAGCCCCCUGGGAUAACACUGACGCUCAUGCACGAAAGCGUGGGGAGCAAACAGG
rnacentral:rRNA from 1 species